rnacentral:lncRNA from 1 species
UUAAUAACACGUCAUACACCUAGGCAAUAGGUUUCCUUGUGCCACAGGGCCUCAGGUAUUUCUCAAUUAUUAGAGAAAGAAGGUUGCCAUCUUCCAAUAAUAUUAGAGCCAGAUUCAUCUCUAUAUUCUUGGUUUCCUAAUGUUAUACGCACUACAUGUCUAACCAUAGGCGUUUGAAGUGUCCUCCAUUGGUAGAGGGAAAUGGAAAUGGACUAUUGUCCAGGUCUUGGUCUUGGACAAUCUUCAAUCAUGAGGUAUCUCUUGCAAUUGAGUUAGGCCCAACUUCCAUUAUCCUCUUAUAUGCUCUUGGACAAUCCUCACCUCAUAAGGUAGCUCUUGGAAUUGAGUUGGGC